UUUCCAGCCAGUUGACUAAGAAAGAGUUCUAAUAGUAUUAUGAGUUUUUAUUUGCUUCUGUGUUAUGAUGGAUCCUGUGUUCUACCUGGAAUCCAAAAGUUCAGUGACACAUCACAUAUAAAUAGCAUAUGCCAACUCUAGUCUUUAAAUGAAAUCUUUCCUUUUCCUCUUCUGCCUCACUGUCCACACUCCAGCAUAAAAGCAGAGAGGAUUAAUAAUAUCAAAAAUAAUAUCCGCUAGCAUUUAUUGUAGGCAUACUAUGUUCUAGUCAUUGCACUGAGCACAUUCUGUGUAUUUUAUUAUUUAACUCCCACUAGUUUUCCCAUUUCAUGCCUAGGACUAAGAAAUUCAAGUGACUUGUCCAGAGAAAAAGAGCUGUUAAAAGGUGGAACCUGGCCUGAGGACUCCAAACCGUCUCCUGCCUACCCCCAGGAAGGACACCCUCUGCAGCCAUAUUGGCCAAAUGUUGUUUCCUUGAGGAGCGGGUUCGUGAGGCUUAUGCUGCGAUGCUGUUGAAGUCUCCAGGGAGGUGCUCGUGCCAUCGGAGACCAGCAGCAAUUAGUCCUUCAGAGUGAGGAAGUUUCUCCUGUUCGCUCUAUUCUUUGUGUAGAUUCUAAUAGUUCUUUAACAAAAGGCUUACCUUGUUUUGUUUUUUUUGAAGGACUGAAGUGUACUUACAAUUGCAUUUCAGUCUUUUCAGAAGAGUCUGGCAGACUGAGGAGGCUGGAGAUGGUCGGAGGAACCUGGCUGCAGGGAUGAAAGGCCAGUUUUGACCUUCAGAGGCUCUCAGAGCUCUUACUUUUUAAGAAUCCAUCCCAAGUCAUUCUGACACGUGAAAAUGC
rnacentral:lncRNA from 1 species